AACGAACGCUGGCGGCAUGCCUAACACAUGCAAGUCGAACGAGAUCUUCGGGUCUAGUGGCGCACGGGUGCGUAACGCGUGGGAAUCUGCCCUUUGGUUCGGAAUAACAGUUGGAAACGACUGCUAAUACCGGAUGAUGACGAAAGUCCAAAGAUUUAUCGCCAGAGGAGGAGCCCGCGUAGGAUUAGCUAGUUGGUGUGGUAAAGGCGCACCAAGGCGACGAUCCUUAGCUGGUCUGAGAGGAUGAGCAGCCACACUGGGACUGAGAAGCGGCCCAGAAUCCUACGUGAGGCAGCAGUGGGGAAUAUUGGACAAUGGGCGAAAGCCUGAUCCAGCAAUGCCGCUUGAGUGAUGAAGGCCUUAGGGUUGUAAAGCUCUUUUACCCGGGAUGAUAAUGACAGUACCGGGAGAAUAAGCUCCGGCUAACUCCGUGCCAGCCGCCGCCGUAA
rnacentral:rRNA from 1 species